AGACUGCUGGAGCUUGUGCCAUCUAUUGAAAGAAGGAAUUUACAUGGGUUCUGCAAACUCUGUCCCUUUAAAGGGAGCAAGAGCAAAGCAAGUACGGUAUUGAAAGAGACUCUUCACUGAAGAACGGCACUUUUCAGCAGAUCCCAUGUACAGUAAAUGUCUGUGUACAG